rnacentral:rRNA from 1 species
AGCGAACGCUGGCGGCAGGCUUAACACAUGCAAGUCGAACGCCCCGCAAGGGGCGUGGCAGACGGGUGAGUAACACGUGGGAACGUACCCUUUGGUUCGGAAUAACUUGGGGAAACUCAAGCUAAUACCGGAUAAGCCAUUAUGGGGAAAGGUUUACUGCCGAAGGAUCGGCCCGCGUCUGAUUAGCUAGUUGGUGAGGUAAUGGCUCACCAAGGCGACGAUCAGUAGCUGGUCUGAGAGGAUGAUCAGCCACACUGGGACUGAGACACGGCCCAGACUCCUACGGGAGGCAGCAGUGGGGAAUAUUGGACAAUGGGGGCAACCCUGAUCCAGCCAUGCCGCGUGAGUGAUGAAGGCCUUAGGGUUGUAAAGCUCUUUUACCCGGGACGAUAAUGACUGUACCGGGAGAAUAAGCCCCGGCUAACUUCGUGCCAGCCGCCGCUGUAA